rnacentral:rRNA from 1 species
UGAGGAAUAUUGCGCAAUGGGCGCAAGCCUGACGCAGCGACGCCGCGUGGGGGAUGAAGGGCUUCGGCUUGUAAACCCCUUUCGGGCGGGAAGACGGUCCUAUACUCAUAGGACGGACGGUACCGCCAGAAGCAGCCACGGCUAACUUCGUGCCAGCCGCCGCGGUAAUACGAAGGUGGCAAGCGUUGUUCGGAUUUACUGGGCGUAAAGGGAGCGUAGGUGGUGGGGUAAGCCCCGCGGGAAAGCUCCAGGCUUAACCUGGAAAGGUCGCGGGGGACUGCUGCGCUAGAGGACGGGAGAGGAGCGCGGAAUUCCCGGUGUAGCGGUGAAAUGCGUAGAGAUCGGGAGGAAGGCCGGUGGCGAAGGCGGCGCUCUGGAACGGCCCUGACACUGAGGCUCGAAAGCGUGGGGAGCAAAC